AAGGAGGAUGCCGAAAAUCCUGAAAACAGAGUAGGCU
rnacentral:ncRNA from 1 species